UGGGGAAUAUUGCGCAAUGGGGGAAACCCUGACGCAGCGACGCCGCGUGUGUGAAGAAGGCCUGCGGGUUGUAAAGCACUUUCGGUGGGAACGAAAUAUGCCGGGCUAAUACCCCGGUAGGCUGACGUUACUCAAUGAAGAAGCACCGGCUAACUCUGUGCCAGCAGCCGCGGUAAUACAGAGGGUGCGAGCGUUAAUCGGAAUUACUGGGCGUAAAGCGCACGUAGGUGGCGACGUAAGUCGGGUGUGAAAGCCCCGGGCUCAACCUGGGAACCGCAUUCGAGACUGCGUUGCUGGAGUACGGAAGAGGAGGGCGGAAUUCCCGGUGUAGCGGUGAAAUGCGUAGAUAUCGGGAGGAACAUCAGUGGCGAAGGCGGCCCUCUGGUCCAGUACUGACACUCAAGUGCGAAAGCGUGGGGAGCAAACAGGAUUAGAUACCCCUGUAGUCCCUGAGCGGGCUGGCAAGGCGCAU
rnacentral:rRNA from 1 species